GACGAACGCUGGCGGCGUGCUUAACACAUGCAAGUCGAACGGUAAGGUCCUUCGGGGUACACGAGUGGCGAACGGGUGAGUAACACGUGGGUGAUCUGCCCUGCACUUCGGGAUAAGCCUGGGAAACUGGGUCUAAUACCGGAUAGGGCCACUGCCUGCAUGGGUGGUGGUGGAAAGCUUUUGCGGUGUGGGAUGGGCCCGCGGCCUAUCAGCUUGUUGGUGGGGUGAUGGCCUACCAAGGCGACGACGGGUAGCCGGCCUGAGAGGGUGACCGGCCACACUGGGACUGAGAUACGGGCCAGACUCCUACGGGAGGCAGCAGUGGGGAAUAUUGCACAAUGGGCGCAAGCCUGAUGCAGCGACGCCGCGGGAGGGAUGACGGCCUUCGGGUUGUAAACCUCUUUCAGCACCGACGAAGCGCAAGUGACGGUAGGUGCAGAAGAAGGACCGGCCAACUACGUGCCAGCAGCCGCCGCGGUAA
rnacentral:rRNA from 1 species